rnacentral:rRNA from 1 species
CAAUAAUUCAGCCUUUUUUUUCCUAACGUCUCCGGGAGAGAGGGGGCAUGCUCCUACGCUCUGCGGGGCUGCCAUCCCAAGGGAAGCGGCGGCGCGGCGGUACGGCGGCGAAGGCCGUCGGGAGCGGUGGUAGAAGGCAGGGGUUAGCGGCAACAUCAGGAGGGGGCGGACAUUUAUCGGAACUGUCUCGGGAUCGGUGGCAGAGGGACCUCGUGCCGCGGGCGGCUAUAAGUGCUACCUCGCGGCCACCUGCAGGACUAGCACCCGCUCCUGGGGCGGCUCCGCUGAUUGGAGCGGUGGCGCGCUGAGGGGGUCGUAGAGACGGUAGCGGAGCGCGACGGCACACGUUCCUGGUUCCUAUGGUGGCCGAGAGGAACUAUAGAGACAGAGGUGAGGGGGCUCCACGCUCCUGAAGCGGCCGCAGUUUCGGUGACGGCCCGCCCUGCGCGUCCGCGGGCUCCCCGCGCCGCGAGGAGAGGACCACGCCGCGUGUUCCCUUCCUCCUCCCCUAGCUCGACGGCCGUGUGGUGGGUGGCAAGCGGGGACCAGGUCUGAAACAGCCUUGAGGUAGACAGCCAAGACGUGAAUCCGGUUCAACUCGUAUACAAUCUACCAGAUCUACUGUACCUACCACAGCUCCUACACGCAAAACUACUCGAGUAUCCGUACGUUCCGCAUCAUAAAGUGAACCAACCCUUGCGUUAAUGUGCGUAUGGCCUGUUCAAACGCUCGUCAAAGUAGUCUGUCUACGUCUGGAGUCUCCCCGAGCUGGACUUUGACUUUCGUGGCUCGCCACUCUGUACCGUACACCCACAGUCGUUCCAACGGUUACUCGACAAGAACUCCAGUCCUACCCCUCCAAAGCGAUUCCGAGUACUUGACGUCCUCUUACUGGAGAACGAGAAGUGUACGUGACCGUUACGGAGGAAGCUCCAGGAUUAGAAGCUGGGCUCACCGACGCUCUUUGACAGAGGAGAGAAGCGGCCGUCUUACGCGUUUGUGAAACUGUUAUACCACCCAGUUCCGCCGCAACUCGUUAUGGGACUAAGACUACUAUGAUCCCACGGCAGAGUCAAACAACCUAGGGGAGUUUUCCGGAGAUGAAGUUCUUUUACGUCACCGUUUUGAUUUAGUUCGUUUCUCGAAGGACUUAGUGGUUCGUCGUGGUCGACAGUACAAUUCGAACUCCGUUGACUCCUUGUCUUCUCACUACUACUGUGUACGUGACUCGGGCCAAUGAUGAGAAGCUCCUGACGUUCAGUCGAUUUACUCCUACUUUUUGUCCUUUAGUACCUCGCACGAAGGUAGGCUGGCCCCUUAGGGCGUAAGCACCACCAAGACGACUACUGGGUAGAGGUUGCGUUCUUGUUGAAAGACUGGUAGGGGUCAUUUAAACGUCGACUAGUAGAAGUCUCGUUCGGCGCACUCCAGGACGACGAAUCCGACUCGUCUCUUCUGUUCACCGUACAGUCCACGAUGAUAAGGUCGUCCUGGUCUACGAAGUUGACGGUUGCAACCCAGUUCAAACACUCCCUGUUACCCGACGCGCUCCCGCUGCAGACGCAGAAACUCGACUAGUUUCCGCGUUCCUUCUACUGUUGCUACUGGCAGGUACAACGGUCCUCCUUCUUUCUACCGGCCAAACAGCGGCCUGUUACCCGACGCGCUCCCGCUGCAGACGCAGAAACUCGACUAGUUUCCGCGUUCCUUCUACUGUUGCUACUGGCAGGUACAGCGGUCCUCCUUCUUUCUACCGGCCAAACAGUGGCACCCGAUUAAUAUUCAAGGACGGGUGGGAAAGAGGAUGUAAAACCAUACGUUAUACAACAUGGCUGGACGGUGAGGUUUGACUUGGACGACAUGGACCACUACGUAAACGUACUUUUACGUUACCGUGUAAAAAAUCGGAACAAUUACUAUUAGUACGAUUGUUCGUGAAGUAAUAUACCGAGUAUAAAAUUCUUCAAG